GGUUAAGUGAAUAAGGGCGCACGGUGGAUGCCUUGGCACUAGGAGCCGAUGAAGGACGGGACUAACACCGAUAUGCUUUGGGGAGCUGUAAGUAAGCUAUGAUCCAGAGAUUUCCGAAUGGGGGAACCCAAUAUCUUUUAUAGGAUAUUACUUUUCAGUGAAUACAUAGCUGAUUAGAGGUAGACGCAGAGAACUGAAACAUCUUAGUACCUGCAGGAAGAGAAAGAAAAUUCGAUUCCCUGAGUAGCGGCGAGCGAAACGGGAAGAGCCCAAACCAACAAGCUUGCUUGUUGGGGUUGUAGGACUCCGAUAUGGUAGUCUGUUAGUAUAGUUGAAGGAUUUGGAAAAUUCCGCUAAAGAGGGUGAAAGCCCCGUAGACGAAAUGCUAACAACACCUAGGAGGAUCCUGAGUACGGCGGAACACGAGAAAUUCCGUCGGAAUCCGCGGGGACCAUCCCGCAAGGCUAAAUACUCCCUAGUGACCGAUAGUGAACCAGUACCGUGAGGGAAAGGUGAAAAGCACCCCGGAAGGGGAGUGAAAUAGAUCCUGAAACCGUGUGCCUACAACAAGUCAAAGCUCGUUAAUGAGUGAUGGCGUGCCUUUUGUAGAAUGAACCGGCGAGUUACGAUUGCAUGCGAGGUUAAGUCGAAGAGACGGAGCCGCAGCGAAAGCGAGUCUGAAUAGGGCGAAUGAGUAUGUAGUCGUAGACCCGAAACCAUGUGAUCUACCCAUGUCCAGGUUGAAGGUGCGGUAAAACGCACUGGAGGACCGAACCCACGUACGUUGAAAAGUGCGGGGAUGAGGUGUGGGUAGCGGAGAAAUUCCAAACGAACUUGGAGAUAGCUGGUUCUCUCCGAAAUAGCUUUAGGGCUAGCCUCGGAAUUGAGAAUGAUGGAGGUAGAGCACUGUUUGGACUAGGGGCCCAUCUCGGGUUACCGAAUUCAGAUAAACUCCGAAUGCCAUUCAUUUAUAUCCGGGAGUCAGACUGCGAGUGAUAAGAUCCGUAGUCGAAAGGGAAACAGCCCAGACCACCAGCUAAGGUCCCAAAAUAUAUGUUAAGUGGAAAAGGAUGUGGGGUUGCACAGACAACUAGGAUGUUGGCUUAGAAGCAGCCACCAUUUAAAGAGUGCGUAAUAGCUCACUAGUCGAGUGACCCUGCGCCGAAAAUGUACCGGGGCUAAACAUAUUACCGAAGCUGUGGACUACACCAUUAGGUGUAGUGGUAGGAGAGCGUUCUAAGGGCGUUGAAGGUCGAUCGUGAGGACGGCUGGAGCGCUUAGAAGUGAGAAUGCCGGUAUGAGUAGCGAAAGACAGGUGAGAAUCCUGUCCACCGUAUGACUAAGGUUUCCUGGGGAAGGCUCGUCCGCCCAGGGUUAGUCGGGACCUAAGCCGAGGCCGAUAGGCGUAGGCGAUGGACAACAGGUUGAUAUUCCUGUACCAGUUGUUUUUGUUUGAGCAAUGGAGGGACGCAGUAGGCUAAGGAAUGCAUGCGAUUGGAAGUGCAUGUCCAAGCAAUGAGUCUUGAG
rnacentral:rRNA from 1 species